UGGAUGCUUGUAUCCCCCCCGCCCCACCAUCUCAUAGGUUGAAAUCCUCGUCUCCAGUGGGAUGGUAUCAGAAGGUGGGGCUUAGGGCGCGAAGGUGGAGGCAUCACGAAUGGGAUUACUGCCCUUGUAAGCGGGACCCCACAGAGCUAUCUUGCCCUAUGAAGACUCAGCAAGAUGACGGCUUUGACAGCACCCUGACCUUGGACUUCUAGCCUUCAGAACUGGACCCCAAGGAUUACAUUGGGCCCACCGGAUAGUCCAAGAUAACCCCCCACCUACAAGUCAGCACGCUGGGGAUUGCAUUUGUUUUUAUGGCAGGAUUCUUGGGAUCCGGCCAAGCAUGUCCAAACUGUAUCAAUAGCGAAACAGUGUGUUCACAGAACUCCAAGGACUCACUUUCAGAAUUCAAGUUGGAGAGUAAAGAAGAGAUUGUGUCAGCUCAAGCCGGGCGCACUGGAGAAACAAGAGAAGGGAAUGAGAGAGAGGUAGCUCUGGACCCAGGCAGAGGCCAUCACCUCCGGGAACCUCGUUCCUUCAUCUGUAAAUGGAAAGGAUGCCUCUUUGGCCCGAAGGAACCGAUGAAUGUAAAGACUGCUGCCAUGGCUCUUUGCAGCAAUACAUGCAGGUUCCGUCCAUCUGUGUUUACUCUUUGACCCAGCGAUUCUUCCAGGAGUUUACCCUGAAGCGACCCCUCCUCCAAUAAAAACGAUCUAUGCAAAAGCG